rnacentral:rRNA from 1 species
AGUGAACGCUGGCGGUAGGCCUAACACAUGCAAGUCGAACGGCAGCACAGUAAGAGCUUGCUCUUACGGGUGGCGAGUGGCGGACGGGUGAGGAAUACAUCGGAAUCUACUUUUUCGUGGGGGAUAACGUAGGGAAACUUACGCUAAUACCGCAUACGACCUACGGGUGAAAGCAGGGGAUCUUCGGACCUUGCGCGAUUGAAUGAGCCGAUGUCGGAUUAGCUAGUUGGCGGGGUAAAGGCCCACCAAGGCGACGAUCCGUAGCUGGUCUGAGAGGAUGGUCAGCCACACGGGAACUGAGACACGGUCCAGACUCCUACGGGAGGCAGCAGUGGGGAAUAGUGGACAAUGGGCGCAAGCCUGAUCCAGCCAUACCGCGUGGGUGAAGAAGGCCUUCGGGUUGUAAAGCCCUUUUGUUGGGAAAGAAAAGCAGCAGGUUAAUACCCCGCUGUUCUGACGGUACCCAAAGAAUAAGCACCGGCUAACUUCGUG